CAAACACACUGACACUCCACUAACUGACACAUUAACUCACUGAAACACUGACAAACUGAUACAUUCACUCACUGAAACACUGACACACUGACACAUUCACUCACUGAAACAGUGAUACACUGACACAUUCACUUACUGAAACUCUGACCCACUCACUCACUCACUGAAACACUGACACACUGACACAUUCACUUAAUGAAACACUGACACAUUCAUUCACUGAAACACUGACAAACUGACACAUUCACUCACUGAAACACUGACAAACUGACACAUUCACUCACUGAAACACUGACAAACGGAUACAUUCAGUCUCACUGAUACACACACACACACACACAACGUAACACAUACACUUUUCAAUUCCACUCACCUACACUAAAAGAAACGCACACAGAAACUUUCACUCCAAGUCUGACUUUCUAAUCUAUACAAUACACUUAUUCCCUGGUCUGUCUAAUCUAUACAAUACACUUAUU